AUGUGCAGACUGGUUAAAGCUUUACUGGACAAGAAGCACGACGAUGAGGGUUUCGAGUAUGAACUCAAAGAUAUUGUGCAUUGGCAAUCAAUCUGCGAAGGUCCCAAUGCAUGGUACUAUCAUCUCAAUAUCAGUAUGAAAACUAAAGGAGCUGAUGAUGAUGUGGGCAGUGUCAACCAAUUCUUCGCUGAAGUCACACUUGAUCAGAGCGAUACGCCAGGAUAUUUUCUCAGCAGUUUCUGCAGAAUUGACCCUAACAGCACGGAUGUUCACUGCCAUGGUUGUACGAACAAUGGAAGUAUUCAUCUGAAGCACCCCCCUACUCAUUUUGAUUGCGGGCACACUGAUCUCUCCCUUGGUUAUGAUGCAUGUAACGAUGAGGUGUGUCGCGAUGCCCAAAACAAGGAAGACGGCGAUGAAGAAGAAGAACUGAGAGAAGAGGAGGAAAGGAUAAGAGAGUCCUUUGAUUACCUUGACGAUGUGGAAUUUAUGGAGAAACUCCGCAAGAAACGUGCUGAGCUCUUAGCCUUACAUUCCAAAAACCAGGAGGAUGAAGAAAGGGCCUGUAAAGACUGA
rnacentral:rRNA from 1 species